CCUACGGGCGGCAGCAGUGAGGAAUAUUGGUCAAUGGACGAGAGUCUGAACCAGCCAAGUAGCGUGAAGGAUGACUGCCCUAUGGGUUGUAAACUUCUUUUAUAAAGGAAUAAAACGAGGCACGUGUGCCUUUUUGCAUGUACUUUAUGAAUAAGGAUCGGCUAACUCCGUGCCAGCAGCCGCGGUAAUACGGAGGAUCCGAGCGUUCUCCGGAUUUAUUGGGUUUAAAGGGAGCGUAGAUGGGUUGUUAAGUCAGUUGUGAAAGUUUGCGGCUCAACCGUAAAAUUGCAAUUGAUACUGGCAGUCUUGAGUACAGUUGAGGUAGGCGGAAUUCGUGGUGUAGCGGUGAAAUGCUUAGAUAUCACGAAGAACCCCGAUGGCGAAGGCAGCUUACUAAACUGUGACUGACAUUGAUGCUCGAAAGUGUGGGGAUCAAACAGGAUUAGAUACCCUUGUAGUC
rnacentral:rRNA from 1 species